GACAGAGGGUGCAAACGUUGUUCGGAAUUACUGGGCGUAAAGCGUGUGUAGGUGGCUGUGCAAGUCGGAUGUGAAAGCCCUGGGCUCAACUCAGGAAGUGCACCCGAUACUGCAUAGCUAGAGUACCGGAGAGGUUGGUAGAAUUCUCGGUGUAGAGGUGAAAUUCGUAGAUAUCGAGAGGAAUACCUGUGGCGAAGGCGGCCAACUGGACGAGUACUGACACUGAGACACGAAAGCGUGGGGAGCGAACGGG
rnacentral:rRNA from 1 species